AUACGGAGGAUCCGAGCGUUAUCCGGAUUUAUUGGUUUAAAGGGUGCGCAGGCGGGAGAUUAAGUCGGCGGGUGAAUUUUGCCGGCUUAAUGGAAAAGUGCCCUUGGAAAUGGUUUCCUUUUGUGGGGGUGAAAGAGGGGGGAAUUUUGGUGUGGCGGGGGAAUGCAUAGAUAUCACGAGGAACUCCGAUUGCGCAGGCAGCUUACUAAACUACUACUGACGCUCAGGCACGAAGGCGUGGGGAUCAAACAGGAUUAGAUACCCUGGUAGUCCACGCAGUAAACGAUGAUUACUAGCUGUUUGCGAUACAAUGUAAGCGGCUGAGCGAAAGCGUUAAGUAAUCCACCUGGGGAGUACGUUCGCAAGAAUGAAACUCAAAUGAAUUGACGGGG
rnacentral:rRNA from 1 species